GGGUAGGGGAGCGUUCUGUAAGCCUGCGAAGGUGUGCUGUGAGGCAUGCUGGAGGUAUCAGAAGUGCGAAUGCUGACAUAAGUAACGAUAAAGCGGGUGAAAAGCCCGCUCGCCGGAAGACCAAGGGUUCCUGUCCAACGUUAAUCGGGGCAGGGUGAGUCGACCCCUAAGGCGAGGCCGAAAGGCGUAGUCGAUGGGAAACAGGUUAAUAUUCCUGUACUUGGUGUUACUGCGAAGGGGGGACGGAGAAGGCUAUGUUGGCCGGGCGACGGUUGUCCCGGUUUAAGCGUGUAGGCUGGUUUUCCAGGCAAAUCCGGAAAAUCAAGGCUGAGGCGUGAUGACGAGGCACUACGGUGCUGAAGCAACAAAUGCCCUGCUUCCAGGAAAAGCCUCUAAGCAUCAGGUAACAUCAAAUCGUACCCCAAACCGACACAGGUGGUCAGGUAGAGAAUACCAAGGCGCUUGAGAGAACUCGGGUGAAGGAACUAGGCAAAAUGGUGCCGUAACUUCGGGAGAAGGCACGCUGAUAUGUAGGUGAAGUCCCUCGCGG
rnacentral:rRNA from 1 species